rnacentral:rRNA from 1 species
GUGAGGAAUUUUCCGUAAUGGGCGAAAGCCUGACGGAGCAAUGCCGCGUGAAGGAUGAAGGCCUAUGGGUUGUAAACUUCUUUUCUCAGAAAAGAAUUAUGACGGUAUCUGAGGAAUAAGCAUCGGCUAACUCUGUGCCAGCAGCCGCGGUAAGACAGAGGAUGCAAGCGUUAUCCGGAAUGAUUGGGCGUAAAGCGUCUGUAGGUUGUUUAAAAAGUAUUCUGUAAAAGAUUAGGGCUUAACCCUAGAUAGGCUGAAUAAACUUUUAAGCUAGAGUUUGGUAGAGGCAGAGGGAAUUCCCGGUGGAGCGGUGAAAUGCGUAGAUAUCGGGAGGAACACCAAAGGCGAAGGCACUCUGCUGGGCCAAUACUAACACUGAGAGACGAAAGCGAGGGGAGCAAAUGGGAUUAGAAACCCCAGUAGUCC